rnacentral:lncRNA from 1 species
AUGUCCUGCGUUGCCCCUGGCCUCGGCCUGCUAGAUGCCAAUAGUACCCAGUCCCCCCGCCCCCAGACUAGCAACCAAAACUGUCCACCAGGGACAAAAUCACUCCCUGGGGGAAACCCAGGCUGCCAGUCUCUGCAUCAGGGCAGCUCUCGUCCAGAACUUCUAGGACCGAUGGGCCUCUUCGUCACCUGGGGGUCUUGGGAAAAUGCGAGUUACGAUUUCCAAGGUCUGGGUGGGGCCCGAGACUCUGCUUUCCAGGACCUCUGGGAAACCCAGAUGCUGCUGGUUUUGGGAAGCCUCUCUGAGUUCAGCAGCCUAGAACCAUCCACCCGGCUGCCCGUUCACCCACAUGUCCCCAGGAGGCAGUUGGAGGAGUCCAAGGAGAGACUUUGUUUCCACUCCUCUCCUAAGUCAUUCGCUUUGCAGGGUUUCUUUGCCCAGUGUUACCCCAGCCCAGUGGCCCGUCGCUCACGCCCCACAUCCAGCACGUUGCCUGCCUUCAGAAGCCGCUUGAGAAUGUUCCUGAGUCUCCUCCUCCUCCAUCAAUAUCUCCACCUCCCUCACCCUGGGCCGGGCCCCUCAUCCCUGUCCAGGGGACCGAGCAGCCGCCUCGCUGCCUCCCUGGUCCAUCCUACACCACCUUCCUACCCUCACUACCUGCCCCACCUCUCCACAUCCCUGCUGCCCGCUCCUGGCCCUCCUCACUUCCAGAGGCCUCUGGCCACACAGGGAAAGCAGGAGCCGUGGGCGAGGAUCAGGAGGGCCCCAGAUUUCAGGCGUGGCGGGUGGGCCAGCUGCAGGUGGAGACGUGCGUGUACGAGGCGCGAACGCCUGCUCCAUCCCCGAUCCUUCCCACCCGGGAGAGGGGGGCGACUCACAGCAGGUGUGCCCGAUACCAGAUGGAAGGGGGGUCCCUGCCAGCCGUCCCGUCCUCGGUCCUCCUCCUUGCUCUGUCCUGCAUCACCUGGGGCUCCUCCGCCCACUGGCUUCUGGGGGAGCCUGGAGAGUGAGGCUGCCCGGCCAGGGGUUCCCCUGGGCGUCCCAGCUCCACAGUAG